UACAGAGGGUGCGAGCGUUAAUCGGAAUUACUGGGCGUAAAGCGUGCGUAGACGGCUAUCUAAGUCGGGUGUGAAAGCCCCGGGCUUAACCUGGGAAUGGCAUUUGAGACUGCAUAGCUAGGGUGCGGAAGAGGGAAGCGGAAUUUCCGGUGUAGCGGUGAAAUGCGUAGAUAUCGGAAGGAACAUCAGUGGCGAAAGCGGCUUCCUGGUCCAGCACCGACGUUCAGGCACGAAAGCGUGGGGAGCAAACAGG
rnacentral:rRNA from 1 species